AUGAUGAUGACGACGACGACGAUGAUGAUGAUGAUGAUGAUGAUGAUAAUGAUCACACUGACCUGUCGAUGUCGGCGAACGUUCAGGGGCUUUCGAACGUUGUCCAGUGUCAUUGUCCAUGCUAGCCUAUACACAUAUAAUGAAUAUUCCCUUUAAACAUAUCUUUUCCUAUACAAACUAUUUCCAAAAUAGAAACGACGUGGAUGCGAUUAAUCAAUCCUUGCCACGAUGCUAGAGACAAUAAACGACGAAAUUUCGUUUGUUUUUAUGAUUAUUAGUUAUGGGUUAGUUAAAAUUAAUGAUAAAAUGAUUUGUCGAUGAUCGAUCGAUCAUUAAAAUGUUUUUCUCGUACGUAUAUCCCCAUCUUGUUGAUCUUUGUAAAUUUCAAUAAUUAGCUGGCAAAAAUUUGUAGUAAUGUUUAUUUUAUAAGCUAAUUACAUACAUGUCUCUAUGUCUUUUAGGAAGAACACAUAUGUACGUCGUUGUGUCUUGAAGCGAGAUAACAGCAUGCGAUGCAAUAACGAGACGUUCCUGGUCGUUGCAGGUACAACAAUCGAUGCAAGCAAUAGUUCUUCUUUCGUAACAAUGAUUUUUCCACCGUAUGCGCACUUUUGUUAUUAGUAGAAGCCGUUCAAAGAUCGUAACGAGUUGUUGCGAGGCACGAUAAGGCUUCAAGAUCAUUCAAGAUCAAACAACGUUGCAUUCCAUCGGGAUUCGAGAAAAUUGAUAAAAAGAUAUAGUAAUUUUUGAGAACUGGUGAAAGAAGAUUGGGAAGAAGAAGGAGAUGAAGAAAAAAAAAAAAAUAGAAAAGAAAAAGAAAAAUAAAUUCACGUGCAAGAAACAAGACAAGAGAAGAGAAUAGAAAAGAAAAGAAAAGAAAAGAAGAAGAAAAAAAAAACUAAAGAAAAAAAAUAUGAAAUAGAAUGAAAACAAAGUAAAAGUACCUCUAAAGUUCGCACGUAGAAUUUGUUUCGUAGGUUUCGGGAAUGGUAUUCGUUGAUACGACAACGCUCUCAUCGACGUUCGUGCUAGACGAACUCCUUGGCUGAAAUUAUUAUUACGAUUUUGAUUAAACGAAUAAAACGGUGAAAAGAAAAACAAGAGAGAAAAAAAAGAAGAAAAAAAGUUAAGAUCGAAAUCGCGAUCUGAUGAUAGAUAAAUCAGCUGUGAUCGUUUAUCGAUCGCCAUCUUGGAGCUUUUCCCGUAUCCGUAUUAACUUUCCUUUCCUAUGAUUAUUUUUCUAUAUUUAUCUAUAAAACGUCUAUUAAUGAUUCGUAUAUAAAGACAAUAAUAUCGCCACCAAAAGCA